ensembl:lncRNA
GGAAAUGAGCAUGUGUGAGUGCUCCAUUCAGUAAAGAUGAGCUGCAGUGAUGAUGAUGAUAAAGCAUUAUCAUUCUCAGGAGGAUGACCUGUGAUGCUGCAGUCCAGAUCCUUGUAGAACAGAGGCUCACAUUGGUAACAGCUGGUAUUGAAGAUGCUUCCAGAAGAUGUUGGCAACUUGACCUGCAUGAACUCUCCUCUACACCUGAAUUCAUCCAGUACCGUCAGUUUGAUUUGUAUUAUGUUGUACCAUCUUCUGUUCUGGUUUCCAGUUUACGCUGAUGGUAAAAUCUCAGUUGUGUUCCUCACACAUCACUGACACCAGCACUCUAUAUUAAAAAUAUCUUUUAACUUUAAAACCAUACUGGUUAGAUGAUCACCACUGAUUUCAACUACAGUAAUAUCAAUAGGUUCAAAAAAUUAGCUUACAGCAACUUCCUCUUAAGACCCAAGCUUUGGUUGGCCUUGCAUUUUAGAUUUCUUCAAAUUAUUUGGGAAAAGGAGUAACCAAUAAAUAUAAUAAUUGGAUAAUAUCAAAUAUCUCAUUAUUAUGUUUAUUAUAUUUAUAUUGUUAUUGUUGUUAUUAUUAUUAAUAUUCUU